GCCGGGUUCUCCUAGCCAGGUAGGGAGCAGGCCUGCUAAGUCUGUGACCUUCGGGUCGCGUGGGUUCAAAUCCCACACCCGGCGCCA
rnacentral:tRNA from 1 species